rnacentral:lncRNA from 1 species
GCUGAGACUGAUACUUUGGACCGAGAGAAACCAGAACUUCUCACCUUACUGCCCUUGACCCAGCUUAUUUGAGAGAAUGAGAGCCAGAGCACCUCAGACAUAUGUAAUAUUUACAGAGGAGUGGCCAGGAGCACCUCGCCCUGCUGUUUCCCCAAAUCCAGGUACUCAACAUAAAGGCAUUUGUCAAAGAAGACCUCAAUGUUCAUCUCCUCGCUAUAAGCAGGAAAAGAGAUCCAGGUGUCUGAAAAUAAACCAGAUUUUCCGGGUGUGGUUAGAUGCAAUGUUAGGGCUUCCAAAGAAGCUGAACAGAGCAUAUUCUCUUGCAGAAAAACAGCUUUCGCCCAGCAAAACAGAUCUCUCCUGCUGCAAAAAGCUUAGCUCCGCGACUUAG